rnacentral:rRNA from 1 species
UACGUAGGGUGCAAGCGUUGUCCGGAAUUAUUGGGCGUAAAGAGCUCGUAGGCGGUGUGUCGCGUCGGCCGUGAAAACUUGCAGCUUAACUGUGGGCGUGCGGUCGAUACGGGCAUCACUGGAGUUCGGCAGGGGAGACUGGAACUUCCUGGUGUGAGCGGUGAAAUGCGCAGAUAUCAGGAGGAACACCGGUGGCGAAGGCGGGUCUCUGGGCCGGAUACUGACGCUGGAGGAGCGAAAGCGUGGGAGCGAACAGG